GCUGCAGUUCUAGGCAUACUUACAGGGCCGUAAGGUCCAAAUAAUAUACUGAGACUUAUUUCUGAGAAUUGCAAGGCAGGUGACAAGCGUCUCACGCAGGCCUGAGUUAUUCUGGUACCUCUCUGGAUAUUAGAUACUGCUCUUCUUCCCUUCAUAGCAUGCUUGGGCCUGUUUAAGAACAUAGAAAGAGUCCUGCUGGACAAAGGUGCCAACUCUAUAGAGCUGAGGUGUUUUCAGCCCCGCCCCCCCCCAAUCUUGAGGUGCUGGGCCUUGUGGCGGUUGGCCUCUCCGGGCCUUGUGGCACCAGGCCUCGUAGUGGUGGUGCCAGGCCUCACAGCGGUGGCCUCCUAUUAUCGGCCUCCUCCCAACACACAUUGUGCACAGUGCCCCCCAAUGUUGGAUGCAACUCAGCGCCUCUGCUGCUGGAUUAAUUCCACUAGUCCAACUUCCUUCCUACCCACACACCUCAGUAUUGUAGAAAGCAGCUUUAUGACAAGUGAGACCAAUUGUCUGCACACUGACUGGCAGCAGCCAAGGUUUUCAUAUUUACAGCAUUUCAAUUGGUAUCACAUCCCCCGCUUCCCAACCCAUUUGGACCCCGCCCGCCGCCCGCCCCGGAAAUAUGGUGCCUCUAGGUGAGACUGGUUGCUUCCCCAACUCUCCCUGGCCGAGAGUUGGUGAGAAAAGUCGGAGUUGUGCUUGAAGAGGGAGAUUUGCUAUUUCUUUUUUCCUUUGGGUGGAAAAAAAGUGCAGUCUGGGUUAGUGUUUUUGUUGCUGUUUUUUUUGUUUGUUCUGUUUGUCAUUUUUCUGAAGGACAAUCCAUCCAGUCUGGGGGGCGGGGGAGAGUUCAACACUCCUACUUUCUCCCAUGUAGUCCCAAAUGUGUUCUGACGGCAGCCAUAUUUGCAUUGCAGGAUACUCCUGACGUUUGCGUCUUCGUGGGCAGGAAUGAAACAGAAGGAAGGUGAGAUCAGUCUUGCAUCACUUUCUAAAUGUCUGGAGCUGGAACUUAGCAGGCCGUGGGGGCGACUGGUGGAACUGAGUGAAACGGGAAGAAAUGCCCCCUCUGCUACCACCACCCCACCCCUCAUCAUCUCUUACUUAUUGUGCAAUUUUACGUCAGGCUCGGUGGCCCUAAAGCAACUAGGAGGGGGAAAGGCCACCAUGUGUGGCCAUACAAAUGAAAAAAAAAAUCUAAGGACAGCCACACCUCAGUGCUACUUCCUCCUUCCCCAGAAGCAAUGGUGCAUUUCAAACAUUCCUAUGUGGGCUUUAAUUUAAAAAAAUAAAAAAAGAGAGAGAGAGGAAAGAAUCAAAGCAAAGCUUUCCUGCCAAUCUGAAAGAGCUGAAGAACUUGAUGCAAACCCUGUUGAUAAACUGUGACAGCCAACAAAUACUGGAAGGCAGGUUCUCAGCAUAGCGUUACCUGAACAGCUCCUUCCUCUCCCCCCACCCUCAUACGUUUCUCUGUCUUUUGUCUCUCUUUUUUGGCAACGGUUGAAUCUCAACCCCGACUAGGCCGAGUGCCACAUGGCCCUGUUUGUCCCUCAUACUCUUAAGCUAUGGGAGGCGAGGGGUGGGGAGCAGGCUCUGAGCCAGGGUGCAGGGCAGGGCAUUUCCCCAGGUGCCCCAGUCUCUGCAUGUGGAACCCUCAUGGCUUUGAAUAAUAAAAAAUAUUA